UUCUCGCGCUUCAGCACCUC
rnacentral:misc_RNA from 1 species